UGGAGAUGGUGGAGGUGGAGAUUGGAGGAAGAGAGUUGUAGUAGUAGUAGGGUGAAUGAGGCUUAGGAGAUGGUGGAGGUAGAGAUUUAUAGUAUUAAGAUGUUUGAGAAUAAAUACGUAUGUUGAAGAUCUAAUUUAUUAUGUUAUUAAUUUGUAAAAAAUUAUUCUUUAUUUUAUUAUCAUAUUCAUUAUUAAAUUGUUAAUUUGAUAAGUCAUUGAUUAAAAUUAGAUGUUUGUUAUCAUGAUAGAGAUUAUGAUAAUGAGAAACAAAUUUUUUAUAAUUUUAAUUCAAAUUAUUCUUGAUAGUAUGAUUAUCGUGAAUAGGACAUCAAUAAUCAUGAUAGAUUAAUAUAUAUGUAAUGAUCUUUAUUGAAUAAAGAUUAAUAAAUUUUUAUUGAAUAAUGAUCUUUAACACGAGAUUAUCAUAGUAAUUAAUAAGUUAUUGGUAUAUUUUAAUUUCGGAUGCCUAAUGUCUUAGAACACUAGUUGAAUGAAUAUUAGAUAUGAUUAAAUACUUGUAAAAUUAAUGAUUAAUCAAGAAGGAAUCCAUCAAUUCUAGGUAAUGAGUUUGAGUUCUAUUUUAGAAUUAAGACAUUGACUAAGGCAAUUGAAUGAAAGAAGAAAAUAGUUUCUUAAGUCAUUCAUGUGUUAGCUUAUUAGAGUUUGACAAUAAUACUAUACUCUAGAGUUAACCUAUGAUGGAAGCAAAUAUUAUAUUCUUCUUCUAUUGGUUCUCGAAGGGAAAAAGAUUUUGUUUCAGGUUAUCCGGACUUUAAGGAGUGUUGUUAAACGCCUAACUUGAUUAAUAAAUUAAUUAUGAUUAAUUUAUUAUCAAUUUAGUAUUGAACCUACAAGGUCACACACAAACGAGUAUUUCAAUAUUUACAAAAGAAAAUAAUUUAUUUUGAUAAUUAAAUUAGAGAAUUUAAUUUAAUCAAAUAAAUAUUUUAGUGAAAUAUUAUUAUAUUUUUUGCUAGGACCAAUAAUAUAAUUAAUAUAUAAAAAGGGAAUAUUAUUUUAUAAUUGUGAAGAUGUCCAUAAAAUAAGAAUAAUAUUCAAUUGCUAUGUAUCAAGGAUGUGAUUAAUUAUUGUAAUUAGUUAUGUGAUUAAUUAUGAAUUAUCUUUAUCUUAAAUCAGUAAGCUUCUUAAAAUAAAAUAUAUGAGAUAAUAUUUUUUUUAUAAAGACAAAUAUAAAUGAAAUUAUUUUAUAUAUUUUCUUUUUUUUCUCACCCAAAUCCAUAUCUCUUUAAUAUUAUGAAUAAAAGUAUCUAUAUGAGGCAAAGCGUACUAAAUAAAGACUGAAAAAGGUUCAAGUCUAGUUUUAGACGUGAAAAGUAGAAAAAAAAUUAUUCUUUAGAGUUUCAUCCAUCAAAGAAUUUGAUAAUAAAGAUUGACCUGAGUAUAGAUACAAGUAGAGUUUUUAGACUAUUAAAAAAAAUGUGUUGCUUCAAAACCUACAUUUUGAUGCAUUAAUUUAUUAUUUAUUUAUUUAUUAUUAUUGUAUAUUUUGAAUAUAAAAUAAAUCCUAAUUUUUUUCCUACAAUUAUUAGAAACAUUUUUAUGUAACUAUCAUACUACACACACGAGGAUAUGAGGAUAUGGUGAAUGAGGUGGUGGAAACUUAUAAUAGUAAGUUGGAAGAGAUGGUGGAGGAGAAGAUUUGUAGGAAUAAGGUAUUGGACGACUUCAUUUUGUGGAAAGAGUCAUGAUUUAAUUUGUUUUUCCUCUCCUUCUCUUAAAAUUUAGUUAUGCCCGUAUAUCUUAUUGAAAACCACAUUUUUUUAGUCUUUCUGGACUGGAUACCCCUACCCCUGGCCAUGAUCAUAAUUCAUAACUAUUAUAUAUAUAUUACACGUAUUUUAUUUGUAACAAAUGGUAUAUCGAUGAGUUUUCUGAAUGUUUGAUCACAUGGAAAAUUUCUGAACGCGUCCUAGAGACUGAAACAGUUUUAUUUGCGCAAUAUAGAGUGUCGGUUUACUAAAAGAACGCACAGAUAGAUAUAUAUCUAUUCCAAAAUGAAGCGUAUGUAUACACGGAAUGAAAAAUGAUUAGUAAUAAUAAAUUAAUUUUACGAAAAUUUAUAAUUCUUUUAUUUUUUAUCUCUCUUAGUCGUUAAAAAGAUUAUGUAAAAUAUUGUAUGAGGACAGUUUCUUAAUAGAAACAUUCUAAUGCAUGUGAUACGUACGGAAUUAUUAUAAUUACAGUUGCACGAAGUAUAUUAUUAAUUAAUAUUCUCCUGUUAACAACCUUUUUUAUUGAGUAGUGUUUUUUCAUUGGAGGAAAUCCUUAAAUAUAUUUUUGGUGAAUCUAAGUUUACUUAAGCGGUACAUUAAUUAGAAAAAAAUAUUUUUUCCCCUAUUUUGUUUAUAUAAGUAAAAAAGUGAGAAUUAUAUGAACGUGCGAAGUGUGUGUAUGAGAUAAUAUUUGUUUUACAUAAUAUACCCUAAAUCAUAAAAGAAGCUUCACUGUGUAACUUAAAUUAAAAUUUGUAUAUCUCCCCCAUGUGCGUCUGACUACUGUUACCAUGCAUAUUCUAAUUAAGAACCCUGUUAGUGCCUUUCUUCUUUUUAUCCUCUUUCCUUCAUGAUCACCAUUGUUAAAUGGCAGUCAAUUCCAUGUACGUAUUGCAUCUCUGAAUUCAAGUCUAGCUGUCUCAUCGAGUUUAAUUUGUGAUAAUUGGUCUCAAGUAAAAAAGACCACUAAUUUGAUCAUUAAAUAUAUAUAUAUAUAUAUAUAUAUAUAUAUAGACAUAUAUAUAUAUAUAUAUAUAUAUAUAUAUAUAUAUAUAUAUAUAUAUAUAUAUAUAUAUAUAUAUAUAUAUAUAUAUAUAUAUAUAUAUAUAUAUAUAUAUAUAUAUAUUGAACAAUGCUAAUUAAAUACCAUAUAUAGUCAGAAAUAGAUCAGUGGGGGGUGCAUGUAUGUUAAGUUAGAAAGAGAUAAGAUCGUGGUUGUGGCAUAUAGACGUGCAUGGGGUGGUGUGGCUUAUAUGAUAUGAGAAAAUCAAGUAAUUGCAGGCAUUUUUUUUAAAAAAUAAAAUGACUUCAUUAAUCGUCUCCAACAUCAGUUAUAUAUAUUGACAUGUUUUUUAAAAUAAUCAAAACUGUCUCGCUCCCAAAUCCCUCUCACUUCUUUUCUUCCCUCUCACUGGCUUAGGGAUUUUCACUUUCGAAAAACAUGACUUAGGCCAUAAUUGAAGCCAUUAGACAGUAAUAUAUCAUAUGAGCAGGGGCCAAUCCAAACUCAAAUGGCUGUGAGGACCGAUAAUAAAAAAUAAAAUUCAUCUAACACAUCAUAAAAAUAUAUAUUCAUAAAUUAAUGUUUUAAAAUGUUAAUUACAAUAAUAAUCUAUUAAAACACGGGACCUUAUUCUUAUAUGUACUAAAUUUUUUAUCAAUUCUUCAAUGUAUAUUAACAAAAUGUGAAUCAAGAAUCCAUCUUUCAUCUUCUUUAAUAAUUAUAGAUUAACAAAAUUUGAGAAAAAUAAAACCUACUAUAUAAUAAGUAGAAUUAGUCAAAUAUAAUAUUCGGAUAAGAUAUUUUACAAAAAAAGAAAUAAAAUUACUAUUGAUUUUAUAAUUUAAAAUUACAGAAAAUAAAAAUUGAUGGUAUAAUAACAAAAAUUGUUAAAAAAUAAUAUUUAAAUAUUUUUUUUAAAAAAAGACAAAAUUGCUAUUGAUUUUAUAGUUUGAAAAAAAAGAGAUAAAAACAAUUAUAUAAAUUGAUGGAUUUGAAUCCAUCCAUUUUUUUUUAUGGAUAAAUUAGAUGAAUUUAUUGUGGAUGAAUUAAUUGGAUAAUGGAUAAAUGAAUUCAUUUGUCACCACUAGCCUGGGACCUAGUCAUGUCCACCAUAGUGGAAAAGUUAUUUUGACCAUUGGAUUUAAAUUUUUCUUGAGAUAAGUGCAGGCUUAUCUUAAGACAAGUUACACUGGAUUAUUAUUAUUAUUAUUAUUAUUAUUAUUAUUAUUUUCCUUAAAAAGUGUUAUUCUUUCCUGUUCUAGUUUAUCGCCCCUUUCUUUCUCUCUCCGACUCUCCCUUCCAUCUACUUAUUCUCCUCCUCCCCUUUUUCAAAAUGUCAUGCUUCUUCGGUGACCUCAACAACUUCUUUGUCAUCAAGCUCCUCGUCGGACACGUAGUUAGCUAUGGUAGGAUUUGAAUACGAAAGAAUGGGCUUCAACGUCCACAAAAUGCUGAUUGGUGCGAUUGUUACUUUAAUGCAAGUGUAGGUAGGUUUGGAGCUUUGAUGUAGGUUUGGGAUAUGUGUGUGUGUGUGGAAAGAAACACGACCUAAAUUUAGGGGAUAUGUAGAUUAUUAUGCUUUUUUAUGCAAAUAUUGACAAAUUUAUUGCAAACAACACAAAAAGAUAUAUUAAAAGAAUUUCACAAUAAUUUGAAUGAAAUCAUACACAAUCAACCAUAUUAAUCUACAAAGAAACAAAUAAGAAAGCUCUAAAAGCAGCCUGAAUUGAUAUCAACAUUUCUAAUCUUGCUUCCUUGUCUUGAAUCUUUUUGAUUUGUCGCUUCCUUGAACUUAGUAAGAACAACACUUGAAAAAUGGCCACCAAAUAAAUAGAAGCAACCUCAUAUGAGUCAUGAAGAUCGUAGCUUAGAGGUGAUACACUCAGACUCUUAUUCAAAGAACUUGUAUAACAAAUUAUAUGCUUAACUCUGCUCCAAAUGGAACGGAAAUUUAUUCCACAAUGAAUACUAGAACCUGAAAUAAAAUAAAAGUUUUCAAUACUUCUCAGAGUUUAUAAAUGCAUAUAAAAUAGACAUUUAUCUANNNNNNNNNNNNNNNNNNNNNNNNNNNNNNNNNNNNNNNNNNNNNNNNNNNNNNNNNNNNNNNNNNNNNNNNNNNNNNNNNNNNNNNNNNNNNNNNNNNNNNNNNNNNNNNNNNNNNNNNNNNNNNNNNNNNNNNNNNNNNNNNNNNNNNNNNNNNNNNNNNNNNNNNNNNNNNNNNNNNNNNNNNNNNNNNNNNNNNNNNNNNNNNNNNNNNNNNNNNNNNNNNNNNNNNNNNNNNNNNNNNNNNNNNNNNNNNNNNNNNNNNNNNNNNNNNNNNNNNNNNNNNNNNNNNNNNNNNNNNNNNNNNNNNNNNNNNNNNNNNNNNNNNNNNNNUGGUGAUGGUGAUGGUGGCGGGGGAGAUUUAUAGUAAUAUGGAGGAGGUGAUGGUGAUGGUGGAGGAGGGCUCUUGUAGUAAUAAGAAGGUGGGGGAGGAGAUUUGUAAUAGUAUGUUGGUGGUGGUGGAGGUGGUGACUUAUAGUAGUAAGGAGGGUGUGGGUGCGGUGAGGGUGAAGGGGGUGGGGGAGAGUUGUAAUAAUAUGGUUUGUGAUAAGGAGUAGGGGAAGGCUUGGGCUUGGGCUUUUCGCAAUCAUAUGACUUUUCAGGAGCAUAAGCAAAUGGCUUAGCCUUGAGCACAACUUCAUACUUAUCCUUGGACUUCACCUUCAAUUUGGUUCCCUCAUUAAGCUUGGUGGGUAUGUUACAGCGUGAAUCCUUAGGAGGAGCAUGGAGUUUAGCCUUGCAGACUGUGGCUCCAUAUUUCACAUAGUCAAAGCCUUCAACAGUGAUGCUGUACUUUCCAUUGCUCUUAGUUUUACCAUAAGCUUUUAUGGUCUUGCUCCCAACUUCACAAGUCACUUCGACCGUGGCACCUAAUUAACGAUGCCAUUAAAUGUGUGGAUCGCACAUGUUAUUGACAAAUCAAUCUAACAUAUAAAACCAUGACAUUAUUGUUUUCUUUAAUUUUAACGGAAGGAAAUGUUUUGUGAACACAAAAUGGGAUAAUAAAGUUAUUUCUUAUAACAUUAUGAUGUGUUUUUAAAACACGUGUACGAAAAAAAAGAAGCAUGUGUUACAUUAAUAAAUCUUUAUUUUUAAAGGUUUAAAUAAUAUAAAUAAAAUUAAAAUAGUUAACCUAUCCUAGCUUUUUCAUAUUUUGAUUGUUGGCUUCAUUGAUUACAUAAGAAAUAGUCGAUUCUAAACAAUAUUUUCUAUUUUCCAACAAAAAUUGUAUUUUUUUUUAUUGAAAUUCCAACUAAAGUCCUCUUCAAAAAAAAAUUGACAACUUUCUGUUUGAAAAGGGUAAUAUAGGUACUUUAAAAAGUAGUAUAUGUUUAGGUUGGUCAUUUGUUUAAUUAGUUAGCAUAGAUCAAGAUUCUCAAAAAUAUUUUUUUGUUAAAAUAUUUUCUCAAAUUGAAACAUGUUUUAUUUCUUAAUUGAAAUGAUAAUUACAAAAAAAAACUAGUUGACUAAAUAAAAAAAGGAGAAAUUAUAACUGUAAAAUUAUUUUAUAUUAGUUUUUUUUACAAAUUUUAUAGAGAAAAGAAAAAAAUGAGAAAAUAUCAAAUAAUUAAAUGAUUUAAUAGAAAAAAUAAAAAAAUAUGACUAAAAUACUAUAAGAAUAUUAUAUUGUAUUAAAAACAACUGUUUAUGUAUAAAUGCAGUUGAACUUCUCUAGACACAACAACACACACAUAACAAUAUCGAUGUAAUUAUACAAAUAAAAAUAUGAGCUUGAAAAAGAAAAAUUAAUUAAAGAAACAUAUAUGGCAGCCAAUGUCCCAAAUUAAAAUUUUGAGAAAAACAAAAGUACAGAUUAAUAUUACCAAAAAGUAACAUUUUUGAAGUAUUCAUAAUAUUAUUAUUGUGAAUGUAUUAGAAUGAAAUAGUAAAAAAAUAAAAGUAAUGUAGGUACCUUUGAGGUGUUUCUUGUUGUGCGACUUUUGGGGGUAUUUCCAGUCAUAACAUCUAUAACAAUAGACUUUACCCACAAUCUUAACAAUCAAUGGGUGAUGAUAUGGGUGAGGGUGAGGAUAUGGAGUGUAUGGAGGAGGCUUAGGAGAUGGUGGAGGCAGAGAUUUAUAGUAGUAAGGCACAUGAGGAGGAUACGGUGAAGGAGGAGGUGGAGACUUAUAAUAGUAAGGUGGAGGAGGUGAAGGAGAUGGUGGAGGAGGAGAUUUGUAGUAGUAAGGUGGUGGAGGAGAUGGUGAAGGAGGAGGCGGAGACUUGUAGUAAUAUGGAGGAGGGGGUGAGGGAGAUGGAGGAGGAGGAGAUUUGUAGUAGUAUGGUGUUGGAGCUGGGUGACUUCUCAGGUGGGGGAGGAGACUUGUAGUAGUAUGGUGGUGGUGGUGAUGGUGAAGGUGGUGGUGGGGACUUGUAGUAGUAAGGAGGUGGAGGUGAUGGAGAG
rnacentral:lncRNA from 1 species